rnacentral:lncRNA from 1 species
UAUAAGUGAAAACAAAAAUUAUGAUUUUUUUUCUUGUGCAUAUAGGUUGUUCGCAAUUUGAAGAAGAAAGAACAUAUUGUGUGAAAAUCUUUGGCUCGGUCAAAUUUUAUCCAAUUGUUUAUAAAACUGUUGUUAUCUGAUUCAUGUAAUUUUUCAGUGUUGAUUUAAAAGCCCAAAAAACCCAUAUAUACUGACUUUUUGAUAUUUUUUCUGUGAUUUGAAUUUAAAAAGAGAUAAAAUUUUCAAUAAGUGUUGUAAACUCAGAACAAGUAAUUAGCAUUAGAAAGCAUUUACAUGUUUCAAACUAAUAAUAUAUACAUAUAUAAUGUUUAAAAUUAUGCAUAUAAAAUCUGUGUAAAAUGUGCCUGAAUAUGUUUCUCAUCUUUAAUGUGUUAAUCGUACUAUAUAUAACAUUAUUUUAAAAUUUCAAAAAGUUUAUGUCACAUACAAAAAAACCAUCAAUAAAAAAUAUAAUUCUCUAUCUACAACAAGAAAAAUAAAAAAUUAUUAAACAUAUAAAUUUAAAUUAAGAAAAACUAACAUUGGAAAAAACAAGAAGUUAAUGUAAAAAAAAAAACCGACAAAUAAUAUUAUAAAUAAAAUAAAUUUAUCAGACACAAUCCGCGCGAAGCGCGGAAAAAAUCUCUAGUAUAAGUAAUAAAAGGAGAAUAAUAUAAGCUUCAGAUAGGCUGUCCACGUAGGAUAGGAAAAUCAACCAAUCAGAGAACCCGAAGUUGCCACGUCAUCUCAUUUAUUUUUUUGUUAAAAAAUGAAAAAACAAUGCGAAAGAAAAGAUCGAACCCCGGAUUAGUAUAUGACAUAAAUAUAUGGCAGUUACCACUAAGCCAUUGAAACUUUCUUGGACACAUAUACAAGAAUCACCAAGUAUGUAAUCACAUACUCUUAUGUACAGUUACAAUAAUAUGAAUU